ensembl:lncRNA
CAGCUUGAGCACCUUUCCAUGUAACGUUUUUGGAUGGAAAAUCAACAAUUUUGUUGCUAUGCGGUUGCUAAAGUGUUCUGAAUGUUCAGCACAUUGCUAUGUGGUUGCUAGGGUGUUGUAAAAUGGGUUAGGGUGCUCUGGGAGGUUGGCAGGGUGUUGCUUUGUGAGUCCUAAAGUGUUCUGAAUGUUAAGCAUAUGGCUAUGUGGUUGCUAGGGUGUUGCUAAGUUGGUAAAGGAGUUCUGGGAGGUUGCCAGGGUGUUGUUAUGUGGUUGUUAAAGUGUACUGAAUGUUUAGCACAUUGCUCUGUGGUUGCUAAGUGGGUUUGGGUGUCCUGGGUGGUUGCCAGGGUGUUGGUAUGCAUUGCUUAAGUGUUCUGAAUAUUGAGUGAGCUGCUAUGUGGUUGCUAGGGUGUUUCUAUGUGGGUUAGGGUGUUCUGGAAAGUUGUCAGGGAGUUGCUAUGUAGUCACUAGGUGCUUGUAAACAUUUAGCUAUGCUGGUGCUAGGGUAUAAUGUGUGGUUGCUAGGGCUUUGUAGUUGCUUACUGGCAAAAGAGUCUGUCCUCUUCUCUAUGAUAUUCUGCUCUCCUCCUGGUUAGGGUUCCUCUAAUGUAAAUGUAAUGCUUGCCGUUGCAAAUAACAUAAGAUUAAUCUUUCAAAAUAAUAAUAAUAGGACAAAAAAAUCAAAUCAGUCCAUUAUCACCAGAGGGUUUUGAAAUUUUACAGCAAUUAGUUUCACUGUCUGCAACUAUAUCAGUUCAUCCAUCAGAAUGUAAUCUUACAUAAAAUGCAUUGCAUAACCGCCACCGUUUCUCUGUCAUUACUAAUUAUGUUUCAGCGUCUGCCAUGACUUUGUUGGUUGUAAAGACAUGAGUGAUUAUGUUGUGUUAUCUCUAGCGCUGCCUCUCUGACGGAUCGCUGGGCUCUUCUCUUGAUUUUCGUGGCCGUUUUCAUUCGAUGUGCUCCUGAUGGUGUCUGCCUACAGGGAUGGUUUCACCACAUCAUCGCCCAGUUUUCGGAGGCUUUGAAAUCCAGACUCAAAAGUGGAGGUGGAUCCCAGCAGGAACAAGGCCCAUCUCUCUGCCCCAGAGGAGACGUACUGCCACAGGGUCCAGAGAUGAGCCUUUGCCCGUCCGCUCUCUGUUCUUGGCCACUUCUUGGUGACAUCAUCCAGGAAGUGACAUCACUUUUGGAGGGACAACAGAAGCACAGACAUAACUGAGAACCACUGCUGUCAAUAAAGGUUUCCUAACCUAAGUGUGAGAGAGGUUG